UGAGUUUAAUGGUGGUGUGUGUUGUGUUUUCAAUGUGGUCUUCUCAUUUGUAUAGUUGUUUUGUCAAAAUGUGGUGUGUUUUUGGUGCGAAUUGUUUGUCGUAUUGGUUCCUCGUAUUUUGCUCCGUUACAAGGUGUUUUUGUUUUCUCUUUAUUCCAUUACCGAUGUAUUAUUACUGGAUUUAUUCUUGUACAGAUUCAUUAGAAUAAGUUUCAUAUUGCAAUGUGUUAUGAUAACUUUACUUGUCUCAUCAAUUUUAGAUAGAUCUAGCCGGAAAGACAUACCAUGAAAUAUACAGAUGAACAAGCAUCAGCUGCAGACGACAUCUUGGAUUGAGUAAACGAGCGCAUUUCUGCUUUUUGUUCUGUUUGUUUUGUAUUACUGUUUCUUUUUCUACUAGAUUGUUGGGGAUUUUUUUAGAAUAGAGGCGCUGACGGCCAUUGAAGAUGCAGACGACUAUUGAAGAUACAGACGACUGUUGAAGAUGACGACUUUCAAAGAUGCAGACGACUAUUAAGGAUGCAGACGACUAUCGAAGAUGCAGACGACUUCUGAAGAUGCAGACUAAGCAGUAACAUGUGUUUCUCUCUAUCAUAAACAGAUGUCACAUUGGUUUAGUGGAUGGUGCAGCUUUGGCAGCUGAUGUUGAUUAAACAAGCACGUGAGAAGAUGUCAUGUGGUGGAUGUCACAAUAAAUGGUGAACAGUGCAGACUGUUUGUUGUAAUGAGGUAUGUAUUCUUUUUUUCUUUUCUGGUAAUUGAUUUCUUUUCAACAGACUGGCAUUUCAACUCAUAUAUAACUAGUGCACACAAAUAUUAAGCAGUAUUAAGUGAACAGUUUUAAACCAAGCUUUGUGCAUUGAUUUUCAUUCAUAGUUUCUCUGUAACUUUGGAUUUUCUGAUUAUCGUGUAGGUCUUCACUAUUUUAAUUAUCUAUUAAAUGUUAAUUGUUUAUUAAUGUCUGUCAGUACUUAGUCAGCAGUGCAUUAUGUUAAAACUGUAGAAAGCAAAGGUCGAUUUUUCUGUUUGAGGCAAGUCCAGAUCAUAGCCUAGGAAUGCUCAUACAGAUCCAGGCGUUGGUGAACGAACUAUCAGACCUCUCCUGUCAACACAGUAAUCAACUGUUUUGAACAAACACUGUUCGACGGGCAAGACUCUAGUGUUUUAGUGGAAUUCAAGCCUUGGACAAAAAUAUCUGUAUUUGUCUGGUUUUGCUAAUGGUAGAGAACUCUUCCACACCUCGUGUCCAAUACAGAAACCCCUUGGUGACCAUGAUGGCCGGCGAAUACCUCGUUAAGGCAUAAAACAGCAAGAAGACAGUGUUUGCCAUUUUUGAAAGAUGAAGAAAAAGUAUUAAAUAAUCAAUGGCGGAAAACAGACAUCGUGUGAAGCUCUGUAUUUUUGUUUACGACAGCUGACAGUCUGAUGUAAGACAGAGUGAUUUCAGACAAACUACUGAGAAUGGUCAAUCCAGACACUACUGGCACAAGCAAACAAGCAUUACAGCAACACAACCCUGGCACAAGCAUAGUUAGAAAACAGAUUUGACAUGAAUUGACAUGUAUAUAAUUAUACCCCCAAGUACAAAGUAUUUGGAGCUAUAUUGGAGUCACGCAUGUCCGCCAAUUCAUUGGUCCGUUCGUCCGUUCAUUGUAUUUGCUAAGAAGACUUUCAUAAAACUGGCAUCAAUUAUUAACAUCACGAAGAGCUGUGCAGUGUGCACAAAGAGGGUCACUAGGCCUAAUGUUUAGGUUACUCUUUGAGGACAAAGGUCAACUGGUUCAAUUUGUGUCCGCUCCAUAUUGUCUAUACAGUUUGGAAGAUAUUUAGCUCGACUAUUCGAAGAAUAAGGAGAGUUAUUGUACUCGCCCUGGUGUCGCCGUCACUAUCACUGUUGCAUUUAAGUAAAAGUUUCAUGGCAAGUUUCUCCUUGUCACUGUAUGUUCUUUACUAUUGCCUCUAUUAACAUCAAACUUCACACAAGGACUGGCCUUUAUGAUAGACAGACUUCAAUUAUUUUAGGGUCAGACAUCCUAAAGGUCAAGGUCACUGGGGUCAAAUAUUGUAAUAGAGCUACUUAAAGUUUUAUGACAAGCUUCUCAAUUUUACUACAUCUUCUUAACUACUGUCCCCUAAUCAACAAACCUCAAAUAAGAAUUGAUCGUUAGAGUCAAGUUAUUCAAAAGCAAAUGUCAUUAGGGCCAGAUUUUGUAACAGUGUUGGUUACAAUUUUAUGGCACUCUUCUCAAUUUGACUUAUAACUCAUAAUGCUUCUUACCACUGAUAUCCCUCCGUCUCCGCUCUUUAAAUCCCUAUACACUUCCACUAUCCACUCGGCAUCCCCGUGCAUUUUUCUUACAAUUAAUGUUAUUGAAUAUUUUGUAUCUCAUAUGAUGUUUACCCUCACUGUUAUCCCUAUCCAAACAUACUUCGAAAGGUUUAAUACUUUUUUUUACAAACCGCAUAUGAGUUUUAAGUAUCCCUCAUCAUCGCUACAAUUUUUGUGCCCCCCCCCCCCACCCACCAUGAGUGGUGGGGGCAUAAAGAUUUGGUCUUGUCCGUGCGUCCGUCCGUCCGAAGUU
rnacentral:lncRNA from 1 species